UAUGAGAGCAAUGUGAGGAAAUGUCAGUGAGAGCUGAAUAGGGAAGUCUUUGUGAAGGUUUAGUAUGUUUGCAGUAUGUUUGCCUAGGAACAAGAUGUCAGUCCAUCCUGCUCUCCUUGCUCAGGGAAAAACUCAGCAGCAGUACAAGAGGUUACCUUUGUUUAAUAACUAGGUUGCUUAUUUGUGAAAUUUCUGCAUCUUUUUUCCACCUUGUGUUUGUUCCAAAGGUUAAAGCUUAUCUAAUUGGAUGUUAGGGAUGGGGAAAAUAUCCUAAAGUGGAACAGAAUACUUUAGGUGUUAGUUCAUAGAGCCUGCCAAAGCCACCCAGAGAUUUGGAUCAUGGUAGGAUAAUGAGUGUUCCACACAUGUUGAGAGCUUCCUCAGGGGCCUGCUUGAUCCACUUCAGAUUCUUACCCUGUUUUAUUAGGGGUUGAAAAAGGUUCAAGACCUGGUUGUACCACUGCUCCCACCGACAGCUAAGGAACCAGUUUGGCGUCUGGUUUGUCUGUUGUUUUACUGCUGACCUUCAAAUCAACUUUCACCCCUGACCCUUGGAGGCAUCUAUCAUGACAAGAGGCUGUUUAACACAAAUGGUGCCCAUUUAUAGGGGAAGAGACUCAGAAGAUUUCCUUUUUAUGAAGAAUUUGGGUUUUUUUCAUCCCUCUUUUCUCAGUCACCACAGGUGAAAUCCCUCCUAGCAGCUGGCUUAUGAAAUAAUGUGAGGGGAGGCCUUAAUGAGCUGAAAGCACCCUCAGCUGGAGAUAAAUAUAUGCAAAUGAGAUGCACAAACAAAGGCGCCUGGACAGAGAAAUAUCUGCAAUUCCAGCAAAAUGCUGCCUGCAGCUAGAAGAUGAACAGCUUUGAUAAAAUGGAUAUUGUUCUCCAGGAUGCUGCUUUGUGUUGCUUAUUUCACCUGCGGUUCAAUAUAGCUGUGUAACAAAGACCCUGCCGUCCUUUUUAAGAUUGCAUGGAGAGAAAACUCUGAGUUGACAACUAGUGAGGAUCAGUGUUGGAGAGGAGAGAAAACAAACAAACAAACAGACACUUGAACAUUCGCGGAGCAGCACCCAAACAGCCAGCAUUAAUGAAGGCAAUAAAGUCUCUCUAGCUAAUUCAAAGACAGACAUGUAACAUGCUGAUUUUAAUAAGCUUUUUAAAGGCAAUCUCUAACUUUUGAAAGUGUCUCUCUUUCAUUUAAUUGUUUGGGGCUCAUAUAUUGUCAAAACAAACACAUCUACCUAAUAUGUUUCCAAUAUGUGUGUAAGUAUUAUAUAUCUAAGAUAAUGCUUUGAAAUAAUAGUUAAAUUCUUUUGGGGAGGGAAAGAAAGAAAAUUCUUAAAACAGUUCUAUGCACAAAGAAAAGUUUGUUUGCCUGUAUUCUUGAUAAAGCCAUGUAUUUUUGCAUACCAAUCUUUCUUAUUUAACUCUUCCUUAUGUAUCCAUCUAAUUUAGUGGCAGGUGAAGAAAAGUUUGCAUGAAACUGGACUGUAUAAAUCUGAAUACAAAUAUUUAAGAGUUUUGUGAAUUAUAAAUACUUGUACAUGGAUUGGGAGACUUAUUUCUGUCAAACUGUUUCAACAUUUUUUGUACAUGGGGGGAGGAAAGCCUGUGUUUAAGCAUUCUUAUAUGGUUUGAAUAUUUACAGCUGUUACACUAUAAAUGUGCUAGAUUUUGUUUUCUCAAAUAAAUUUUAUGUUUAUUUUUUGGAG